GUCCAGGGAUGGGAAACGAACCCACAAUGUUCCGCUUACUCGGCAGAUGCCAUGUCCACUAGGCUACCCUGGA
rnacentral:tRNA from 1 species